rnacentral:rRNA from 1 species
UACGUAGGUGGCAAGCGUUGUCCGGAUUUAUUGGGCUUAAAGGGUGCGUAGGCGGCUUUGUAAGUCAGUGGUGAAAUAUGGCAGCUUAACUGUCAAGGUGCCAUUGAUACUGCAGAGCUUGAGUACAGAUGAGGUAGGCGGAAUUGACGGUGUAGCGGUGAAAUGCUUAGAUAUCGUCAAGAACACCUAUAGCGAAGGCAGCUUACUAAGCUGUAACUGACGCUGAGGCACGAAAGUGUGGGGAUCAAACAGG